rnacentral:rRNA from 1 species
UGGAAGUAAAAGUCGUAACAAGGUUUCCGUAGGUGAACCUGCGGAAGGAUCAUUGUCGAAUCCUGCACAGCAGAACCACUCGCGAACAAGUAAACAAACUCCAGGCGACGGACAAAUGCUGGGAAACAACACCCAGCACUUGACCGUGGCCUGACACUCGUCGCGGCAUCUGUCGUGGCGAUUAACAAACCCCCGGCGCGAGAAGCGCCAAGGAAUACUUUAACAAGGGCUCGAACCAUCCUCUCCCGUUCGCGGGGAUUAGGGGAAUGGGGACGGCUUCUUUCUAAAUCACAACGACUCUCGGCAACGGAUAUCUCGGCUCUCGCAUCGAUGAAGAACGUAGCGAAAUGCGAUACUUGGUGUGAAUUGCAGAAUCCCGUGAACCAUCGAGUCUUUGAACGCAAGUUGCGCCUGAAGCCAUUAGGCUAAAGGCACGUCUGCCUGGGCGUCACGCAUCGCGUCACCCCAUCCCCAACUCUGGUAGAUGAGGUGGAUUCUGACCUCCUGUGCCUCCAGGCGCAGUUGGUCGAAAUUCGAGUCCGGAGCUCAGGACUUCACGACAAGUGGUGGUUGGAUAACAACUCGCGUCAUGCCGUGUGCCGAACCUCCGUGCCUCCCAAGACCCUAAGGUGCGCGUUUCCCAUGCUCGUUUGUGUGGGAUUCUCGUGCUACGACCGCGACCCCAGGUCAGGCGGGAUUACCCGCUGAAUUUAAGCAUAUCAA